GGUCGCAUAGCUCAGCUGGGAGAGCACCUGCCUUACAAGCAGGGGGUCAC
rnacentral:tRNA from 1 species